CCUACGGGAGGCAGCAGUGGGGAAUAUUGCGCAAUGGGCGAAAGCCUGACGCAGCGACGCCGCGUGAGGGAUGGAGGUCUUCGGAUCGUAAACCUCUGUCAGCCGGGAAGAACGGUCACUGUGCUAGUCAACAGUGAAUUGACGGUACCUGCAACGGAAGUACCGGCUAACACCGUGGCAGCAGCCGCGGGAAUACGGGGGGUGCGAGCGUUAAUCGGAGUUACUGGGCGUAAGGCGCUCGUAGGCGGGAUGUCAGGUCAAGGGUGAAAUCCCCGCGCUCAAGGUGUGAACUGCCUUUGAUACUGGCAAACUGGAGUGUGUGAGAGGAUGGUGGAAUGCGUGGUGUAGGAGUGAAAUCCGUAGAUAUC
rnacentral:rRNA from 1 species